GACGAACGCUGGCGGCGUGCUUAACACAUGCAAGUCGAGCGGUAAGGCCCUUUCGGGGGUACACGAGCGGCGAACGGGUGAGUAACACGUGGGUGACCUGCCCUCAGCUCUGGGAUAAGCCUGGGAAACCGGGUCUAAUACUGGAUAUGACUCCAUGACGCAUGUUGUGGGGUGGAAAGCCUUGUGCGGCUGAGGAUGGGCCCGCGGCCUAUCAGCUUGUUGGUGGGGUGANGGCCUACCAAGGCGACGACGGGUAGCCGGCCUGAGAGGGCGACCGGCCACACUGGGACUGAGACACGGCCCAGACUCCUACGGGAGGCAGCAGUGGGGAAUAUUGGACAAUGGGGGAAACCCUGAUCCAGCGACGCCGCGUGUGUGAAGAAGGCCUGCGGGUUGUAAAGC
rnacentral:rRNA from 1 species